rnacentral:rRNA from 1 species
UACGAAGGGGGCGAGCGUUGUUCGGAAUUACUGGGCGUAAAGCGUGCGCAGGCGGUCUUUUAAGUCAGAUGUGAAAUCCCCCGGGCUUAACCUGGGAACUGCGUUUGAAACUGGAAGGCUAGAGUGUGGCAGAGGGGGGGUGGAAUUCCACGGUGUAGCAGUGAAAUGCGUAGAUAUCAAGAGGAACACCUGAGGUGAAGACGGGUUGCUGGG